rnacentral:tRNA from 1 species
GAAGCUUUAGUUAAAAGAUAACACAAGUUUGUCAAGCUUGGGUUGCCCUUUCAAGGCAAGCUUCUCC